rnacentral:lncRNA from 1 species
UUUUUUUUUAAGUAAAUAGCAGCUUUCAAAUAUACAAUACUAUACUGUUAACUAUAGUCACCAUGCUAUACAUUACAUCCCAGAACUUGUUCACCUUACAACUAGAAGUUUGUACCUUUUGAUCACCUUUGCCUGUUUUAGAAAGUUCUUUAAGGAUACCAGGUCCUAUGGCAUCUAUAUGCCUGGCAGCAUGAUUAUAUCUGUUUGGUCGCCUCUGGUUGUAAUGAAAAAUUCCUUGUGAAAUAGGACUGCAACCCGAGUUUCCCCAGGCCUCCUCAAACUGUGAAUAUAAACAGAAGCACACUAAUAAUUAGAACUCAAAUUCUAUUGGUCCUUGCAUCUACCUGGCAGGACCUCAACAACCUGUAAAAUUGGAGUGUUUCUGGAAGUACAAGUGCUCUCUGAGGUCAGGUGCUUCUGGAAAUCAGAUGUGCUCAUGACUAAUCUGGCCAUCUACCGUGGCUGUCUCUGACUACCUGCUGGGUACUUCUGUGUCACCGGGUGCUACUGCCAUGUCACCAGGCUUGCACACUCUAUCAGACCACACUGUCACUCUUGUUGCCACCAGAGAAACCAAAGAUGUGCAGUGGGAUGUGCAGUGGGAUAGGGAUGAUGCCCAACACCUGCCUGAUAUUGAUGAAUGUUGACAUUACAGCAAGUUCAAAGGUACCAACACAGUGAUGUUUGUGUUACUGAGCCAUACAGAAUUUGGGGGUUUUCACUAUAUUGUAGACUUGAAACUAAUUUAACACUAUAUAUUAACUAUACUGAAAUUAAAAUAAAAACUUAGGGACGCCUGGGUGGCUCAGCAGUUGAGCCUCUGCCUUUGACUCAGGGCGUGAUCCCAGGGUCCAGGAUCAAGGCCCACAUCGGGUUCCCUGCAAGGAACCUGCUUCCCCCUCCACCUAUUUCUCUGCCUCUCUCUGUGUGUGUUUUAUGAAUAAAUAAAUAAAAUAUUUUUAAAAUAAAAUUAAAAUUAAUAAUUAAUAAUAUAGGGAUCCCUGGGUGGCGCAGCGGUUUGGCGCCUGCCUUUGGCCCAGGGCACGAUCCUGGAGACCCGAGAUCGAAUCCCACAUCGGGCUCCCGGUGCAUGGAGCCUGCUUCUUCCUCUGCCUGUGUCUCUGCCUCUCUCUCUCUCUGUGACUAUCAUAAAUAAAUAAAUAAAAAAAAAAAAAAAAAAAUUAAAAAAAAUAAUUAAUAAUAUAAAUAAAGAGAGAUUUGAGAGAAAAAAAGAAUUUUAGGUUUUGUUUAUGGCUUGACUUUUAUAGGCAACAUGUUUCCCCACAGUAACCAGAUCUCUAUCACUGGGUCAGGCAUACCUGGCCUGUUCUUUAUUUAAAAUGAGUUCUCCCCUUAGAAGCUCCUCAGCCUCCCUUUCAUAUAUCCUUUAGGUGCCAUUGCAUGCAUACCCACACAUAGUCAAACCCCAGCUCCAGCUCCAGCUGAGAUCCCUCUAUAUAGCAGUCACACCUACUGGAAGGCUAAAUGAAAGUGCCAACUUUGGAAGAAAAAAAAACAUUCUUUCAGUUUCCUCUAGAAAAGGGUUCUGUGGUUCAAGUUCGGGGUUUACUAUUUUGGGAGAAAUAAAUUUUUUAUUUGGAGCAAGUCAUAUAUUUCUUCCUUUGGUAUAAAAUUUCACCAAAAUAAUUUAAAGCUUGAACCCUAAAAUUCCCAUUUGCUCACUCUCAAAAGUAAAUGAGUAUUUAAGCCAGGCAAACAGAACCACUUAUAUUUAAUGGUGCCAUAAAUGGGUUGCAAAAUAUUUUAACCCAUUGAUAAUCCUUUGGGCAGUUACUCUCAAGGAAUGAAAGAGUAGCUUAUAAAUGCUAUUUGUAGGAUUGGUAACAUACCCAAGAAUUCCAGUAACUCUCCACUGUUUCACUGGAUAAUUUUCACCUGGCUAAAUGCAAGCACAAGAAAUGGACAGUGAGUCUCAGAACUGUUUUUCUCUGCUAAUCUCUUCACUUCUGUGCACUUGUUCUCCCCAGCACAAGUAUCCUCACUGGUUAUCAGUCUUGGCAACAGCAGAUGGCCUUUCCAUUCCACUUUUAGAUCAAGAGUUCUAAAACAUGAUACCAGUCCUUUUCUUUAUCCCCUCACUUAAUCACCCCCUGAAUCUGGUGAAUAUGUUUGGGCUACUUGUUAGCAAGAAAUCCUGAUUCUGUUGCAAAGCAGACUCUCCUUUCCAUUCUCAAAGUCUUGAUUCAUGUUUUGAGAGGCAAUAUAGCAUGGCAGUCAAGAGCAAAGACAAUGGGCACAGAUCAUCCACAUUCAAAUCCCAAUUCCUCACUUGUGUUUGUAAGAUCUUGGGUAAGUUACUUAAACUUUCUAAACUUCAAUUUCCUUAUUUUUAGAAUGAAGACAAUGAUAAGACCCAUCUUAUAGAUUUGUUGUUAGGAUUACAUGAGUAACAUACAUAAAGCCGCUAGAAGAGUGUCUAGUACAUAAUAGGCAUUAGUUGUUGCUAAUACUUUAUAACUUUUCUGUUGAGGAGAGGAGGAGGCAAAGCUGGCAAGAUUCUGAAGACAAAUACCAUUAUCUAAAAGGGAUUUGGUUCACAGCUGAGUGACACUGAGAAAGUAACUCUCUAAACCUCUGUCUCCUCAUCUAUAAAAUGGUGCUAUUUGAAAAAAAUGCAUGUAAAUUAUUUGGCAAUGACCUAACAUGCAGUAAACAUUAUUAAUAUUAGCUCCUGUAUCAUCUGUAAAAUAAUCCAUAAUUAUGUCUGCUUUAUAAGAGUACUGUAGUGAGAUAAAAUAGGCGAAGGAUUAGCAUAAUGAUUUAAUAUUUAUUAAGUAGAGGGCUGACACAGUUUCCUUUCCACACUUUGCUCUCAAACUUACGGAACUAUAUAGUUUCUUUUUUAAUUACCCUUGCCUUUCCUUCCCUUGACAGUUAUACCUGGAAGUUCAAAGAAUGAAGGGAAUCAGUGAUUACAGAAAUUCUACCUACCAACAAACAAGACCCUCCACAAAUCUAUAACCGAUAAGCAUAUCUUUAUCUAAAGUGAGGAUUUAUCUGGAUAAUUGAAUUUCUGGCAACAUAUCAGACUAAGUAUCAGUACCAACCCUUCCUGGAAAUGACUAAAAAUACUGGAUAUAAUAUAGGAACAUCUUGAAUGCAUCCAUAUGAAAGCAAAAGAGUAAGGAGCACCUAAAAAGGCAGUAUUGAAUCAGCUCUACCCUGAGAGUAUUUGCUGAACCCAAAGAACUUGAGCACGGAUUUUUGUGCCCUGAAAACACAAAGCAAAGCCCCAGGACCACCCACGUUGGAGUGUCUUAUAUUAGAACCCUCAUAAAACUAGGGCCCAAACACAGAAAUUCAUGAAAGAAGGGAUGAAAAUACACUACCCAUUUCUACCAUCCCCAUAAAAAAAGACUGCAGGGAAGACUAGCAGUUUCAAAACUUGGCAGUGAGUAGAAUGGGGGAAAAUUAUACCCUGAGAAUUUAUAACCACAAACUACCCUUCCACAAGUUAGUGAAACAAAUUUUCACUUUUGAAGCAGCCUAAAUAAAAACUGAAGUCAAUUUUAUUUAAAGUGGUCCUGGACUGGUAAUGCCCCAGGUAUCUAACAAAAGCAAAUGCAAAUCCUUUGUAGGAAAUAGUCUCUUUCUUCUAAGAUACAAAGAAUCUCAAUGAAUACUUUUUCAAGGAAAACUAAACAAUGUAAGGGUCAAAAGUACUAAAGAAGGAAACAAAACUAUGAGUAAGAGCUAGCAGAAACAAAAGUUAGCACAAUCAGACCUAAAACACUUCAGAUACUUAAAUUAUCAGAUACAGAAAAGAUAGGACAGAUGGAAAACAUAGAAGACAAUAAAAAUAAACCUAAAUAUGUCUGCAAUUACAAAAAAUAUAAGCAGAUUAACUGCUUCAGUUAAAAGACAAAGAUGCUAAACUGAGGGGUUUUUUUAAUCUUUUUUACACUAUUUAUAAGAGAAAUGUCUAAAACUUAAAAACACAGACUGAGAAUGUAUCAGUAAAAAAGAUACAGAAGGAUAUAAAAGGUAAAUACCAAAGGGGGGCACCUGAGUGGCUCAGUCAGUUAAGCAUGUGCCUUUGACUCGGGUCCAGGGUUCUGGGAUCGAGCAUUGGGCUCCCUGUUCAGUGGUCAGUGUGCUUCUCUCUCUCUCUCUCUCAAAUAAAUAAAAUCUGAAAGAAGAAAGAAAGAAAGAAGAAAGAAGAAAGAAAGAAAAAGAAAGAAAGAAAGAAAGAAAGAAAGAAAGAAAGAAAGAAAGAAAGAAGAAAAGAAGAAAGAAAGAAGAAAGAAAGAAAGAGAAAAGAGAAAGAAAGAAAGAAGAAAGAAGAAAAGAAA